CGUGGGUAACCAGCCUUAUAGUGGGGGAUAGCCUUUCGAAAGGAAGAUUAAUACCGCAUAAGAUUGUAGUAUCGCAUGAUAUAGCAAUUAAAGGAGCAAUUCGCUAUAAGAUGGACCCGCGUCGCAUUAGCUAGUUGGUGAGGUAAUGGCUCACCAAGGCGACGAUGCGUAGCCGACCUGAGAGGGUGAUCGGCCACAUUGGGACUGAGACACGGCCCAGACUCCUACGGGAGGCAGCAUG
rnacentral:rRNA from 1 species